rnacentral:rRNA from 1 species
GAUGAACGCUGGCGGCGUGCCUAAUACAUGCAAGUCGAGCGAACAAAUGAGGAGCUUGCUCCUCUGACGUUAGCGGCGGACGGGUGAGUAACACGUGGAUAACCUACCUAUAAGACUGGGAUAACUUCGGGAAACCGGAGCUAAUACCGGAUAAUAUAUUGAACCGCAUGGUUCAAUAGUGAAAGACGGUUUUGCUGUCACUUAUAGAUGGAUCCGCGCCGCAUUAGCUAGUUGGUAAGGUAACGGCUUACCAAGGCAACGAUGCGUAGCCGACCUGAGAGGGUGAUCGGCCACACUGGAACUGAGACACGGUCCAGACUCCUACGGGAGGCAGCAGUAGGGAAUCUUCCGCAAUGGGCGAAAGCUUGACGGAGCAACGCCGCGUGAGUGAUGAAGGUCUUCGGAUCGUAAAACUCUGUUAUUAGGGAAGAACAAAUGUGUAAGUAACUAUGCACGUCUUGACGGUACCUAAUCAGAAAGCCACGGCUAACUACGUG